UACUGUCUCUGCCACUGGGGCUGGGGGAGCGGACCGGAUGCAAGCCUCUUGCCCUUCCUGAGGCUCAGGGGAGUGCCAGCCCCACUGGAUUACUGAGAGGCAGAGUGAGCUGAAGGCUGGGGACAUGGGUAAUGGGUCCUAGAUGAGGCUGGAGAGAUUGCUGAGCUGGUGGGUGGGAAUGCCAGCCAGCACAAGCAGUGUCCCUGCCCGCCUGGGAGGUCAGGGCACAGGAUUUGGGAUGACUGAGGAGGAGGCCGCAGUCAGAGGAAGGGGAAGAGUGGCAAGUCGAGGAAAACACAGGAGCCUUUGCACCUAGAGUCGUGUAAGUUCAAGGUCCGGUCGGGGGCUGCAAGGUGCUGUCUGGCUCUGGGGAGCUGAGGAAGGGUGGGGGCAGGGGAGAAUGAGACCAUCCAAGGUUCAUGUGGGGAGUCAUGGUGACCACAUUCCAGGAGAGAAGCGGGGUUUUAUGGCUGUGGGUAGGGAAUGCUUCACUUUUGGAUGGGGGGAUUGAAAUCAUUCAUUUAUUCAUUCAUUCAACCAAAACUGAAUUGAGCCCCUACCCUCUCCCAAGACCUUGGCUGGGUUCUGAGGAUACAGCGUCAUCCCAGACGGGAUUUCUCUGCCUUUGCGGAGUGGGAAAGGCAGGCAGAAGAGCGAAUUGGUAAGUAAGCCAGACCACCAUGGACGGCCCUAUGGGAUGCUGGAAGGAAACAAUGAGGAGGCAGAGCCGGGUGUCACCCACUUGACCUCGGACUCAGUCAGCAAAGCUUCAGUGACAAGGUACCAUCUGAGUGGAGACCCGAAUGGUCAGAAAGGGUCCAUCCCGGUGAGGGGCUAGGGGCGACACUCGAGAGAGAGGGAACAGCAGAUGCAGGCCCUGGAGGCUGGGAGAGGGGGCAGGGGCAGUACUGUGCUUGGUGGGUCCCUGGGCUUCAUUCUGAGUACGGUGCGGAGGGUUUUAAGUCCACAGAGGACACGAUUCCCUGGGUUUAAACAAAUACAGGGGCUGCAGUAUUGCCAUAAAGAGAAAGUUCCAGAGGGUGGGUGGGAGGCUGUCCCAGCAAGCAGGGGGCAAACCGCAGUGUGCAUAGUGGACACCAGCUGUGGCUGGGGUCUGGCAGAAGCUGGUGCUGUCCUGACGCAGGCCAAUCGCAUGAUCUCUCCCAGCUUCUGCCACCUCACCCAUAAAAGGGAUCUUUGACCAAUACACUCAGCACUGCUGGGCCGCAUAGUGAGGGCGCAGAGUGCUGGUCACCGUCGUUGUUUCUGGAGAUGGGGGGUGCUCUGGCUGUCGUGGACGCGGGUAGUUACAGGGUUCUGAAACUCAAGAAAGGGAUCCGGGCAGCAGGCUGAUUGGGUUAGCUGUCUGUGUAGACCAGAGUCCCUGUUGCCCAGGGUGAUACUUGGGAAGCCUGCUGUCACCUGGGGGAGGUGGGGACGAGAGAGGUGCUACAGGCAUCUGGACAAUACAGUGUGAAGGACAGGUCCCCACACUGAAGAAUGAUCCAGUUCCAAAGUACCGAUAGUGUCAGAGCUGGGAAACCCCAGUGUAGACAGAUGGUGUAGUUGCCCUGCACACAAGGUGUGCCCUCUGCUCACCAGUCCCUGUCCUCCCUACUGCCCGGUGAGGACAAUGCUGUUCCAUAGCAUCAGAAUGAGCCACACUUGGGAAAUGUGAAAACGAGACGGGUGACAUCCGUUUUAACAUGAUGCCUUACUUAACCCAGUAUAUCCAAAGUAUGACCACUGUGAACCAUAAUCCAUCUAAAAGUCAUUCACGAAAGGUCCUGCCUCUUUUCUUUCCAGAAUAAGUCUUCAGAAUCUGGGGGGCGUCUUGCAUUGACAGCAUGGCUCACCUCAGGCCAGACCCACGUCAAACCUCCCUGAGCCACGGCACCAUGCAAGGGGGCUUUAGUUCUAGCCGAAUUCCACACAUGUCUGGAGGUUUCUGGAAGGUUUUCGGAAGAAUGCUUUCUCAGCUCAGCUUACUGCCACAUCCAGAAAUUGUUUUCCAAGUGCGUCUGGGAUUUUGAGUUUGCGUAUUUUCUGGCUUCUUGGAUACUGCCUAGUAAAACACUGA